GCACCGAGCGCGGUUCCCACUGACCUUCGGACGCUGCGUCAGAAGGAGGCUCAUCUGCUUCCGGGUCACGGUUGACCGCGAGCAACGGAAAUGAUGGAAGCGAAUCCCCAGAUCCGGGGAGACUCCUGAUGCAGGUCUUCUGCAAAAUACAAGUGGCCUAAACAAACUUUCGAAAAGCAGGGAUAACAGUUUACCAAAGCAAGUAUCCGCCGAGAAGAAAGGCAGAUCCCGGCAUAAAUGGGGCUGCUGUGAAGUCACUCAGGUCAGAGAGCCACUCAAGAUACUGACCGAAGCCCACAUCAGAGGCCCUUUUCUCUUUGUCUCACAAUGAAGAGCUAACUUUCCAAAAGGGAAAGGAAAAAAAGCACUUUGGAAAAAGCACAUAAUCUCUCUGAGCGUGGAGCUCCUCCUAUGCAGAACGGGAGAGCAGCCCGGUUGGGGUAUUGCCUGCUACUGUCAGGGGGCGCCCCAAGCAACUCAGUCUUCACGACUUGGAGGUGACCAUCCUCCCAUUACAGGCUGAAGAGAAAACCAGAGACCACUACAACAAGGCUGUUUAUAAUUUCUUUUCUUGAACACCAAGUUAUCCUACAUCCAUCCUAAAAGUCUGCCCUAAACUAUAUAAACUAUACAGGAAAGCUGAGAAAUCUUCAGACAUGAAAAAAGACAAAAGAAUGAUAAAGAAAACUUAUGUGCGAGCUGAACAUCCUUCUCCUGUUCACUCUGGAUUUAGCAUUUUUUAAGAAUCUGAUAUUUUUCCCCUCCAUGUGCAAAUUCUUAAUGAGUGCGAGCAUGAGCAUUUGCUUCUUUUACUUGCCCUGGCCUGGA